AUACGGAGGGUGCGAGCGUUAAUCGGAAUUACUGGGCGUAAAGCGCGCGUAGGUGGUUCGGUAAGUGGGAUGUGAAAGCCCCGGGCUCAACCCGGGAACUGCAUUCCAAACUGCCGGGCUAGAGUAUGGUAGAGGGAGGUAGAAUUUCCUGUGUAGCGGUGAAAUGCGUAUAUAUGCGGAGGAACAUCAGUGGCGAAGGCGACUUCCUGGACCAAGACUGACACUGAGGUGCGAAAGCGUGGGGAGCAAACAGGAUUAGAAACCCCGGUAGUCC
rnacentral:rRNA from 1 species